ACGGCGACUGCGACCGGGGGCAUCAUCCUCCCCCUUCCCGGAUCUCGUCUCUGCCUCAAAGCUUCAGUCACUUCCGGCGAAGACGACGGCCAGAGGUCAUCCUCCUCUUUCUCACCAAGAUAGACGGACCUCCUCUCCUGUCUGAGAUUUGUACCCAAGUGAGCAGCUGUACUGAAGAGCAUCGAAUGCUUUGAAGUGCUCUAUCUAUCCUGACAUCACAAGUGCUCUGACAUUAGAAGUUGGCUUUAUCCGAAGACUUUGUGUUCAAUUGCUUGGUGCCUUUUGAUUCGUCGAUCAUUGAGAAGUUUUCACUCGGAGCAAGAAAGGUAUGUGACGCAGUCAUCCCUUUGACAUGGCCACUGAGCAAGCUUAAAUUAUGCAAAACUACUGCUCUUGUGAUGUUGUUUUUCUCUGCCUAGUAUU